GAGGGUGCUAAGGUAGCGAAAUUCCUUGCCUUUUGAUUGUGGGCCUGCAUGAAUGGUUUAACGAGGGUUUGACUGUCUCUAAAUUUUUUAUUGAAAUUGUACUGAAGGUGAAGAUACCUUCAUUUAAAAGUUAGACAAAAAGACCCCGUGCAACUUUGAAAAUUAACUUUAUUCAGGAGUAAAAGAUUUUUAGGUGGGGCGCCUAGAAAGCAAGUCUAACCUUUCUGAAUAACUAACUCUUUCCGGAUUUGACCCGAUUAUAUUCGAUCGUAGGAGAAGUUACGCCGGGGAUAACAGGCUAAUCCUUUAGUAGAGUUCGUAUUGGCUAAAGGGAUUGGCACCUCGAUGUUGAAUCAGGGAUAAUAGCUUCAAGGCGUAGAGGCUUUGAAAGUAGGUCUGUUCGACCUUUAAUACC
rnacentral:rRNA from 1 species